AAAUUCGUAGCCGAAUUUUCUGAAUUUCAGAUCUAAGAAACGGUGACCGCGGGUUUUCCGGCCAAUUUUCGGCGAAGUUUUCCGGAAUUGGACCUUAACCCAAGAGGUAAAAAUGAUCAUCUCCUCGUGGCUGUUCCCUACUAUUGAGGACGAAGAAGGUUAACCAAGGUUGUUUCCAACCUGGGCCGAGAAGAAUGGAAGCCUUGGAAUGUUGUGAGUGAAACUAAGGUGAACAUGGUUCUUCUAAAAAAAACUAAGGUUGUGAGUUCGAAUGGAAAAGUGUAACAGAUUCAUCCCCUUCCAUUAACUGAAAACAGGGAUCCAAAGGUAUCCUUUCGAACUUGAUUUUAAUUUUUUUAAGUAUUAUUUUUCGGAAACUUCAAGCAUCUAAUUUGUGCAUUAUAGUGCACUAUUUUGGUAGAGAACCUACCUGACGAUCACUACGUGGAGAACCUUAAGAGUAUACUUGGUGAAGCUAGAAGGUAGAGAUAGCAAUUACUAAGGCUCAAGCAUUACGAUGAGCACGUCAUUAUUAAAAAACAUGUUUGGAGGUGUUCAAGAAA
rnacentral:sRNA from 1 species